GAUGUAUAUGUUCUCCACUACAUAUGGCAACAACACAAUAUAAAGUUUGUUUCUAUUUUUGUCUUACAGGCUCACUUCUAUGGUUCUCUGUUUGAGAUCUAAUUUUUCAAGAGCUUCUUCAGUCUUCCUUUGAAAGUUUUCUGCUGCCCUAAGGUGUUUCAGCUGCAUACAUGACACAGAGCCAGCCAGGUUCAGUCUGUUAUGGGAUUUGUCCCCUCCUGGCCCUUGGAUGGAGAUCCCAGCUUGACUGAGCAUAGUUUCCAUGGUGGCAGCAGGACUCUGAUAUAGAAGCUGUCACUCUAGUAUGCAGAUAAAAUAAUUUUCAAAAUGUUUUUCCACACUUUCAAGCUAUCUCCAGAAGAGUGAAAAACAAGGUUUGGAAAUAGACAAACCAGCAUUUUCUGAAAUUCUGCAAGUCAGGGUAAUUGUUUGCCAAUGCAUUGGAUGUCAGGGAUACCCAUUGACUCACUAUGACUGUUUUAAGAUCUGAGGGUCACCUAAACUACUUCUCAAAGGCUUUUCACCUCCCACAGUUCUUGAACAAUGCAAAUGUCUCCUAAUAAAUAGCAUGUUUUAGCUUCAAAGUUCUUUUUUUGCCAAAUAAUGAGAUCAUGGAAGCUUUGUUCUUAAUGGAUAGAUUCUUUAUGCCUCUUUUAUGUUUUGAGAUGGAUCAACCAAAACAGAGAAUAAAUACUGGGACUGUCCUUUGUUCACUUGUUUGUAAUCACUCUUUAACUCUCUUAAGGGCUUGAGGUUUUUUUGGAAAAGGGGUUUAAUUGCUCAUGCUUUGUUUGAUGCAUGUUGGGACAUGCAAUUACUGUUAAGUAGGAAUGCUGUGUAGGCACUCAUAUAAAUAAAUAGCACUUUUUAAAAUCUCCCAACUCUCAGGUUUUCUUUUAAUCAACCAGUGAAGAGCAGCAGAUCUUGAGAGGCUUUUAAAAUAUUUUCUAACUUUGUACUUUUUGUUCUGUAAAAAUAUAAACUUCUUUAAAAAUUGCAUUGAAAAGAAAUGUAACAUCCCCUCAAAACCUUCCUUUUACCCAUCAAACCUAGGGGCCAUUAUUUUUUUUUCUGUAUGCAGGUCAAAGAGAAGAAACAAAGCAAAAGUAACACAGCUGAAUUUUGUCUCAGGAUUUGGAAUUUCUUAAAAUUAUUUUUCACUUUCCAUAAAAAUCCUACUUUUUUCCCCUGAAUCUUUGCUAUUUAAACAUGAUCGCAGACAUUUUUUCUGACUUUUUUUUGAUGCAACCCAAGCUACUGGCAAACAAAGGAAAUUCUAAAUUUUCUCAUUAAGUACCUAUAAAUCCAAAAUAAUUUUCCUUUCAUUUUAAUCUUUAGGUCUGCAUUAACUCUCAUUUGUUCUUAUUCUGAGGAAAAUAAAGCAUAUUUCUGGAAUUUAAACCUUGAUCAAUCAGAGGAAGAAAUUUGCCUUCAGCUGAAUUCCUGCCUGAAGCACUGGACAGAUUUCAGGUGUUUGCAGACCCAGAGGAGCCCUGAGCACAGUGCCGGCCACAACUCCAGCAUCUGAAAACGGGAACCAUAAGCACCAUUAGGACCUACUUGUGACCUUCAAAGAGAGGGUGCCAAACUAUACCUUGGAAUGCCAGGAUUUCAUACAGAGAAGCCAAAAAGUGAUAAGAAAAGACCUAAAUGUUGACUUCAAUUUGCACAUCUGGCCUGUCAAACUCCAGACUUAAUUGUCUUACCUGUAGUGACUUUUUGUGAGCCGUCUUCCUUUCCAGAGGAAAAGAAAAAUCAUUAAGAGGAGUAGAAGGAAAUUCAAGGAACAGCUGUACUAAGAAGUUAUUAAAAUGAAAGCUGAGAAGCAUCUGGGAGACUCACAGAUUGGACAUGCUGAACCAAGCACAAGGGCAGUGACAUCUCCACUGAAAAAGCUUUAUUUGCAUAACACAUCAAGGGUAGUAUCUGCCUGAGUCCCACGUGGGAGACACUCUGGACUAUAUAAUUCUGAAUCAGGGCAUAAAAGCUGCAGCCACAGAUUCUCCUGGAGGAUUUUACAGAACAUUGUGAAGGAACACUUGGUUUUGUCUUUAUUGCACCACACAUGAGUGCCUCCAUCUCAUUAAUGCAGGAAAUGUGUUAUCUGAGCGAGAGGAGCUCGGAAGCUUGGAACAUCAGUGCUGUGCUUUAGAGCCGCCUUUUUUUCCAUUUUAUCUAUUAGAUGGCAAGGCAAAUUAAAUGUCUCAUCGUGAUGAAAUAACAGAUUCCUCAAAUGUGU